rnacentral:lncRNA from 10 species
CCGCACCUGGCCUAAAAUUUUUUUUUUUAGAGACAGGGUCUCACUACGUUGCUUAGGCUGGUCUUAAAGUUCCAGGCUCAAAUGAUUCUCUCACCACAGCCUCCUGAGUAGCUGGGAUUACACGCAUCAGCCCCUGUGCCUGGCUACAUCUGUGGUUCUUUUUUUUUUUUUUUUUUUGAGAUGGGGCCUCCCUAUGUUGCAAUGGCACGAUCUCAGCUCACUGCAACAUCUGCCUCCCAAGUUCAAGCGAUUCUCUCACCUCUGCCUCCCCAGUAGCUGGGACUACAGGCUUGCGCCACUAUGCCCAGCUAAUUUUUGUAUUUUUUUUUUUUUUGAGACAGAGUCUCGCACUGUUGCCUAGGCAGUGGCGUGAUCUCGGUUCACUGCAACCUCUGC